GCCAGCAGGAGUCAAUCAGUGGCUCUCAGACAUCUGGGGAGCUGUUUCCACCCUGGUUGGAAUUUGCUCCUGGUUCAUGCAGCUCUCAGGCACCGCUGCCCUCGGCUGCUUUGCUGUCCCCCUGAGUGUUUGUGUUGAAUAUCCACCCACAGGGGUCUCCUCACCUUGGGCUACACUGAACGUCAGAUGGAUGUGACAAUAUCCUAGGAUGACUGCCUCUUGCUUGAGACUAGCCCAAUGAGGUGUAUCUGGAGGAACCAUGUCACUUGAACAGGCGAGAUGGACAACAGUGCAAGCAGCAGAGCGCUUUGCCUCCCUCCUCCAUGUGCUGCCACAGGAUUGCUGCGAGCAGGAUGCAACGCAGCUCCGUCCGUGUGCAGUGUUCGUAUGUGCUUCUGCAUAACGAUUCUGAGGAUUACAGGUAUGGUCAGAAACUUUUUAAUGUAGUAUGAAAUAGUUGCACUGAGCGCAGCCCUUUCUGACCCAAGACCUCCACACCUAGCAUAGAACAGCAGUAAAUCCUGGGGCGGAUUAAGCAGUAUCCUCAUAGUAAUGUGUCUGUUGGAGUUUCACUUAACCCAGUGUAGCUUGAAACAUUUGGAUAUUCCAGUCUGUUUCCCUUCUGUAUGUGGAAAGUUGAUGGCAGGGCAGCAUCCUGAACUCUGACUCCCUGUAAAAGUUUAAAUUGCUGCCCUGCUGGGCUGGGUGAAUGCUAAUUGCUUUGCUGCUCACAAUGCGUCCAGACUGCUUAUUUAACAGAAAUCCCCAAAGACACUUCUUUUGCAUGCCAAAUAUACUGCACUCAACAAAACACACAAAAUAGCAGGCCUGUUUGCAUACAGCAAUCACAAAUCUGAUAUUUAGCAACCUUUAAGGAUGAUCUCAGUUCUCCAUUCAAUGCAGCAGUGCUCACUGCACACUGCCUGCAGCGGCAGCUGCAGCACAAGCACCAGGCAUGCUGCUCCUGGGAGAGCAGAGCAUGUCCCCAAAUGAUUGUCUUUGGUCUAGGACUGGGGUGUUCAAAGAAAGCACAGCUUCUUUCAAUCAGUUAGGAGGGAUUUCUGGGCUUUGACCUGGACAGGCAUUAGCAGAGGUGCAUUUGCAAUAAAGGCAAAGCUGGGAAGCACAACACAAGAGCCGUGUGUUAGGAGCUGCAUCUUCUUGGGGGUCUCAACACCUCUGCUGCUCCUCAGACAGGAGACUAAGAAUUAUUAACAAUUCUGUGACAGCAAUACUAAUCAGCAGGAAAACCAAAACUCGCUUGUGAUUGUUCAAUUCCUGUUGGUAAUCAUUAUGUACAAUUAGAACCUCACGGUGGGCAGGCUCCAGGCAGCAGUGCCCUUCGCAGGCUGCUUGCUGCUCCAUGGGGUGUUCUCUGGGGUCUGUGCUGCACACCCUGUACCUGACUGCGUUCCUGCCACGUCGUGACAUGAAGUCACCGGAGCGUGGAUCUGAGCAGCCACAAGAACUGCUUCCUGCCAGUUGGGGCUUUGCACUGGGCCACAGUAUGAGCACCGAUUUUUUUCUCAGCUUUGGUGGGAAGUACAGGGUUGGUGGUCACAAUCAGUUGACCGUGACCCCUGAAUCUUCUGAAAAGUGGUGUUAUGUUGCUAGCUUUUUUCCCUGUGUAUAGGGAACAAACCUGUUUAUUUGCAGCCAGGAUGAGUUUGCACUGCGUGACGAUGACAGUCUGGAUUUGGUUUUUGUCAAGGAGCACCCAGAUUGCUGAGGUCUGGGAGAACCCAUGAGAAGAACCCGCAAGAGAAAUGAUCACAGCAGCACCUGACGUUCCUGAGGAGGAAGAUUCACCUGCUACAGACCCCAGUAGACUGCAGCCAUGCUGUCUCUGUUGUGCAUCCUGCCCACCAUGCUGAACCAAAAUGCUUUGCAGGAGCCCCAUGGCCCAGCAUUGGUUCUUGGGAAUGUGCUGUUGCUGCACCUUCAAAAGCAGUGCCCAGGGAGAACAUGGAGCACAUACAGAUGAUGGCAAUGGUGAGGUGAGAGCAUGGCUGGGAUGUGCCACUUCACUGCUGCUCGUGUGACUUGGUCAGUGCACGGUGUGUGCCCACUUCUGUCCUGCAGCAUGGGGUCAAGAACAUGUUUGGAAACUGGUUAAAGUGAAGGUGCUUCAACUGUUAUUAGGCAGAGUACAAUUUUGGGGAGGGAAACAGCCUGAGUCCAACUGAUAAGAACAGGAAAAAAACUGGGAAUCUCAUGGUGUUUCAGACUCAUAAAAAGUGUGACUAAAUCAACAAAUAGAGUAUUCAUUAGGAAAAAUGCACUUAAUUUCAGACCAGGGAUGUGGAAGUGCCAUGAGAGUUUUCUUGGAGAAUUUUUAUCCCAAUCAGAAAAAAGAAAAGACUGCAAUUAUUAAGGGAGCCUGUUCUUCAGAGAGCACCAACCCAGUUUUCUGUACCCAGGAGGUCUAAGCAAUCUCACAUAAGUUUUGGCUGAGCAGCUCUUUCUCCCACUGUUGUCUACUCUGGAUGAGACGUGAGACGUCUCAUUGCUGUGUUCUGAAUCAGCUGCAACGCUGAACCUCUGAGACCUUACUGAAUAGGAAGAUAAGGGAGCAGUACGAUCAUUAGGGCCAUCUGUGUGGAUGAAAAGCUUUAAAGCCUCACCUGUAGGUAAGGGUUGACUUCAGCAAGCUGCCUGAGCUAGCCAAGCAGCGACAUGGGAUUUGGGAACAACGCACGUGGAGAUGCUCGGUGCUGCUCAGGAACAGGAUGCUGAGAGCCAUAGCAGAAACCAUCAGAGGAGGAUUCCUCCUCUUCAGAGCCACCCACAGCUUCUCCCUGUACCAAACACAAUGCUGGAAAACCCCUCACCUGCCUCACCCUCAGCCAGCAGAUGUGCAAAAGCAUGUCUGCAUCGUACACGCGUGGGCACUGCUCUGCAGCCAGCUCCUUCCUGCAUCCUGCAUGCUGUGGCUUAGGGGUGCUGGAACAGCAGCUCAACACUUCAAAUUACACCUUGGGUUUGUUACUUUUGUGAGAAGAUAUUUCUGGACCCUCUGCCAGCCCUCAGUUUGUAGUAACUGAGAAUGUACUAGCUCCGGAGCUUAGGAUAUUUUAUGAAAGGAGGAAAAAAAAAAAAGAUGAAGGAAAAAUGAUUUUGAUCUGAGACAGAAAUUCAGACAAAGGAUUACCCGUGUUGUUUGAACAGACAGUGCAUAAACAUUACUUUCUAUUAGAAGGAACGGAGACUUGCAACAUUCAGGAAACUACUUUAUUCAUGAAAUAAAACUAGGCCCAUUCUGCUUAUUCAAAUACCACCCACAACUUUCUGGGGAAAGAUCAUAUGCAGAGCAUAUUUGGAAACAUUAUUAGGAAUGCAUAAAGUACAGUAUUAGUCAAUUUUAUAUGCUCAGUUGCAUGAAAUCUGUGUGUUUAAAAAAUAUAAUAAUUUGCAUUUCAUGGCUUUUGAUAACCUCAGGAGUGCACUUGAAAUUCAGCACAUGCCCACAGCACCUCCCAGCUCACCCCAUUUUUAACUGAAGACCAAUGGUUUCUAUUAAGGGAUCAGGCAGGGACUCUGACAAGCCAGUCAAUAACUAUGUGAGGUUACUUCAUUAAUGCUAUAAUGGCUGAUAGAGUGAGAGGCAAAAAACAGGUUCCUGACAGCAGCAAAUGAAAAUGAUAGAGAUUCCUGAAGCAACGCGCCUUUCCUUUGUCAUUGUCUUUUGCUUGGCUUAUUCAAAAUGUGGCAUUUAUGUAUUCAGCCUUGAUGAAUGUUGCAGGCUUUAAGUACUUUUUCCAUCUCUAAUGCAGUGCCGAUUGCACAUUGUUCUUUCUUUCUCUCCCUCUCUUUUUUUUUUUUUUUUUCCUAUAACCUCUGCUGUCAAGGCACUGUGAGCUGAAGGGUUGCAGGCACCGGCUAAAUAGCUUUUUUGCUGUAAACGGCAAGGGUGACGGGACAAUGCAUCACCAGCGCUGCGAGGUCAGGCAGCCGGCGGGUGGUGGAGGUGGGGGCUGCCUCAAGCUGCUGCCGGAGCCCCCCGGCAGGACAGCAGGACCCACCCUGUGCUGCCUGGCCACAGGGCUCUACAGGCGCCCUGCUCCACGAGUCUCCUCCAGAGCAGCUCCUAGUCCAUAAGAGCAUUGCCUCCUAGUCCAGAAGAACGUUUCUGCUGCCCUGCCUGACAGCGGGGCCGCGUGGGGAAGGUGUGUGUCAGGUAAUGGUGCUGGGGAACAGAGCUCCUUAGAACGCUUCUGAGUAUCGCGCAGAAAUGCCUACGUUGCGGUUGGAAAUGUGAUAUUCUUCCGGUUUGCUUCCACUCUUGUUUUGUGUCAUUGAGGAAUGGCUGAGUAACCUGGGUCUGUUCAGCCUGGAGGAAAGAAGACUGAGGAGGGAACUGAUUGAUGUAUAUAAAUAUCCAAAGAGAGGCGGGAGGCAAAUGGAUUAGGGCAGGUUCUUCUCAGGGGUGCGCAGUGAGAGGAGAAGGAGCAGUUGCCUAAAACUUGAAUGUAGGUGUAACAGAAAUGCUAAGUCACAGCUUGAAACAGUGAUUGAACACCUGGUGGGAAGGCAGGGCCAACUCAGGGAAGCUCAGGUGCGUGCAAUGUCCCAAACUGACUGGAAGGGAUGGAGCCAGUAUGCACCCCUUCCCAGACCUCGUGUAAGGGCUGGCAGUAGAGGCAAGGGUACCUCAUCUGGAGAUCCCUGCACACUUGAGGCCUUCUGAAGGUAAGCAGCUUUUUUCCUUUAUUUCUGUGCCCACAGCUGUUGCAUUUGAGCAAAUCCUCACUUGCUGCACUUACUGCUCUGUUGUCAUUGUGCUUUCUAUUGCAUUACAGUAGGAAGUUUCAUACAAAAGUUUGGAAGCACUUCUUUAUUGUAAGGGUGACAGAGCAGUGGAAAAGGUUGCCCAGAGAUGUUUUAGUGUCUCCUUCUAUGGAGAUAUUUAAGGUCUAUCUGGAUGCCUAUCUGUGCAGUCUACUGUAGAGUAUAUGCUUUAACAGGAAGAUGGACUCGAGGAUCUCUUGAGGUCCCUUCCAACCCCUGUAAUUCUGCGAUUUAGCUCUUGGUAGUAUGGCGUGCCUUUGUGCUGCUAUGUUUGGCUGCUGGUUCCUUCUGCAAAUGGCUUUCCUGUAGGGCAGCAUGCUGGAGAAGCCAUGCUAGCCCUGUGCCUUGCAGCACUUAGCACCCUGUGCUCAUGCCAUGGAAGGAGGCAGUGAUGUGCCAGUGCUGGAGGUGAAACUGAGAUUCAAACAGUUUCAGCAAACUAAGUUACAAAAAUACUUCUUGUUUAUUGUUCCAUUCCAUUGUUAUUCCAGGUAUCUCAGCCAAAUACUGAGUAUUUUUGUUAAAAAUAAUAUAUUCCUUUCACGGGGUGUUUAAGCAUCCUGGUAAAUACUUGCCUGUUCUCUGCUUUCCUAUCCAAAGGCAAUUCUGCACUUGCAUAAAAGCAGCUUGUUUAAGGACAGCUUCUGCAGGUAAUUCAGCACAGUGCAUAGGAACAUGCUUAUCUUUACAUGGUCCCCAGCAGCCAUACCACAUGUGCAAUACUAGGCAUAGACUUAAUUGUCUGCUGACUUGAGCACAAAUAUCCAAAUAAUUAACUAGUGAGUUUAUAGUGAAAGACUUCUGGCUGAGAAAUGAGGAUGCAAAAAUAUAUAUAAAGCAGCUGCAGAGCAGUGAUUUCCAGCAAACUUGGAAAUGGUGAAGAAAAAUAUUGGUCCUAGGCAUGUCAGUGUGUCUGGAUGUUGAAGGACCUAAGGAGGAGCUUAAGUAUGAAUCAAAGCUCAGUUUUAAAUUGCUUCUACAGCAGAAGCAGAGAGGCUUGGAACUCGUGUUAUUAUUAUUUUGCUUUUACUUAAGACACUUGGUAACUUCAGGAAUUUUUCCCAUGUUUAUGACUAAACAAGAGCAAGCUUAAAGCAGAGGAAUAGAAUCAUUAAGGUUGGAAAAAUACUAAGAUCAUCAAUUCUAACCAUCAGCUUGUUCCCACCAUGCCCACUAAACCAUAUCCUUCAGUGCCACAUCUUCAUGGCUCUUGAACACCUCCAGGGACAGUGAUGUGAGAGGCCUGGACUCACAGAGUCCUUGGGAUGGCCAGACGAUGCCCUGAGCACAGAGAAUUUGUAGCCUAUUUCUACACAGAGCUGUGUAGAAACCACCAGCUCCCCUGGGAAGGCAAAAUACUCCCUGGUGCAGCCAGAAUGGCACAUCCCAAUGGCUGCAGAUGCAGACUCAAACGAUGCAGCACAUCCCACUAUGCCUUUCCCUGGAGGCAGCUGCUGUCCGGGGGUGAUGCCCAGGUAUGGGGAGGCUGCCAACAGUGCUUGCUCUGCCUGGAGAGAGGUCUAUAUUUGGAGCAUCAAAAUCUGGGAAGUGAUUUUCUGGGUGUGAGAGAGACCUGGGGGCCUAGGUGGUAGUCCACGUGUCUCUGCUUUCACUCUUUUUAAAAUUUCAGUUGUUGAGGUUCAAAAUCAUGGCAUUUCAAAUGGAAGGAAAGAUGUCAAACUGUAAUAUUGCAUACCUUUAUGUGCAGGUCUGGGUGUUGGCGGAGUCCUGUUUUCUUUUUUCUUCUUGCUCAGAGAUAACUGCAAAAUAUUUUCCUAUGAAUUUCACAGGAGACAUAGCACCUAUUUUACCUUCCCACACUUACAGAAUACUCUGAGCACAAAGGAGGGCAUUUAAUGAACUUAAUGAAUCAAUCAAUUAAAGAAAAUUUCAUAUGCUUUUCAUGAUCUCCUUGUUAAUUCAAGGCCAAAUUCUAUUCACCCCAGCCCAGUACUCCCCAGCAAAUAUAAGAUUAAAAUAGGUCAAUUGUUAUAUGUGGUACGUUUAUAAAAGGAUAUAUUAAUCAAAGGGCAUGUAUUACACAUAGAAAGGAACACGUAGAUACUUUUACAGCAGUGAUAUAAUACAGGCAUUUUAAGAAUCUUCUGCAUAUUAGUCCGCAUCACUCAUUUCCUCUUUCAAACAGAAGUUAGAGAAAUUAUUGCUAGCAAACAAAAAUCUAUUUUAGACAAACACAAUAUGUUCGGAAAGAUCCAGUUUGUCAUGCCAACAGUCUCAUUGGCUGUGAUUUGUAUAUUAAAAAGAUUUUAAUUGCCCAGGUAAGUGCCUGCACCUGCUAAGACAUUGAAUAUUAGAGCACUUUAUUCUAAUCUCUUAUAAUAUAGGGCACACUUCACCCAUAAAAUUAUUCUCUACACAAUUAUAGCUCAGUUUUGCUGAAGCAGAAAGUGCAACUUAACAGUUUGGUUUUACUCAUAAUUAUUAAAAUCAUGCAAAUUAGGAUCAUUAGGUAGCAGUUGUGUAGUUAACCACUCGAUAGCCUGGUCAUGUUUUCCCUUUCAGUGCAAACAAUGAGAGGGAUGGAAAUGCAUCACCUCCCCAGCUCUGUGCUGUGCAGUGGGAAUGGAGUUUGGAAGCACAGGGAGGAGCCCAGAAAGCCCUGGAAUAACUCAUCUGUUUCUGCAGCAGAACCAAGGCUUGAAUUCUGGCCUGCAAGGUGGAAGUUACCCAUGGGUUCACCUCCUGUAGCUUGGGUUCACCCAUGGGGCCCAUGCAUUUGCAUGGUUGGCUCAGCAAGGCUCUGGAGACAGGCUAGGGAGGGUUCUGAUUAGUGUUUGCUCUUCAGAGGUCAGUGUCACCCUCUGUGUCCCGCAGCAGAGCUCUAUGGCAUGGCUGGCGGUGACCAUCCAAGUUUGGCUGCAGGACCUCUGCUUUGAGAUCUCUGUAGCAGAGCUGUGCCUCAGUCUAGUGGUGGGAUCAAUGAGGGAUGCCUUGAUCAAUGAGGUGUGCUUUGACAGCCAAAUUAAAUGAAGUUAGAGUCUCACCCAAUUUCCUCAGGUGUUGCUACGCAUCCCUAUACGCACAGCUGAUGAUAUAUCUCUACUGAGGAAGAGCACCGUAUUUCCUCUCUGACUUCUGCAUAUUCACUAAUAUCCUGCUUCUUCCUGCGUUCUGUGCUUUGUCUAUUCAGAGGUCCUAAAGCUACUCAGAAGUUACCAGAGGAGGGAGUUCGUCUACGAUCACCAUCAGUGUUAUUGAAUAAUUGACUUGCUGUUCCAAUGAAAUUCAACUUCAGAAUUUAUUCUCACUGCAUCACCCUGGUUCAAUUUUUCUCUAAAUGAAGUUCUGUCCAGAUGGGAUUGUUCCCUGCACCAAGUUCCUCCUCUCCUGCAAGUCCUGGAGCACAGUGCUGUAGUCAUCAGGAUGAUGUGUUUUGCUUUGUCCCAUCUGGAGGAGGAGAUACUCGUUGUCUUUAGGUUUGUGCCUUCUAAACAUUUUCUUCUGUGGAUUUCCUGUGAACUUAGUGAAAGAAGUGAGAGGAUAUUUCUCUAGCAAUUACUUUCACGUGCCUGCAGAUGAAGCAACAUACCUGAACUGUAGAACUGUGAAUGCUGGUGGAUAACACUCUUUCUAAUGUCCUUUCUGUCCUGAAAUGUGGACAUGCUGGUGCUGCAGUCCUGUAGGCGUUAGAGAACACGUGGUGCUCUGGGCACCUUCCCAUCUGGAGCUGGGCUGAGUUGUGCCAGGGCAGAGGUGCAGAGCUCAGCUGAAAGCAGUGCCUUGUCUUACCCGGCCCUGAGUAUGCCAAGGGUGAGGGACAGCAUGGCUACAGCAGCACAUCACAAAUACAUGCCCUAUACCCAUGUAUAAGAGGAUUUACCUUGGGGUAUUUGAAGUGGAAGGAUGAAACUGAGCAAAGCAAAACUUACAGUGAUGCAAAGGACUCCUGAGAGAUGAAGGGAAGCCUUGCCAGGUUGACUGGUGAAUGCUGAGGUGGGAACAGGCUGAGAGGAAAUACUUCAGUUGUCGGCAGGAGGAACGAGGUGUCCUAUGGGAUUCUCAGGGUGAUUCAAAGAGUGUCUGUUUUCAUGUUUUGUUUUGUAAUUGACCAAAACAUACACAGCGGAUUCUCACAGGGCUGUGCUGAGCCAAUGCUCUUGCUGAAGUCAAAUGGAGAGGAACUUCAGAGUUUGCCCUGCUGGAAAAUGUCCAUGGGUGAAAUUGUAGGGAACACAAGAAAUUCCCUCCAAAAUGCUCAUUUUGCUGUACAUCCUCCCUACAGGGGACAUGUGUAAUUAGCAAUUGCUUCCAGUAAAUGACUCUCUGAUCAUGACGACAAUCCAAUUUGAAGGAAAUUAUUGUUUAAAAAAAAAACAAACAACCAAACAAUCUAUGGAGGGGCUCUUACACUAACAAGCACCUUGCCUGUGCAAUGCCCCACUUGCAGCUGAACAUUUGCCAGCACUCACACGGAGCACAUGGUUUAUGACUUGCCUGCCAUGGGCAUCCUGCAGCACAGAGAAGGGAAAAUAAUCCCCUCAUGAAAACCCCUGGUCUUUCCCACCAUGGUUCUUCAUGCUCAAUGGACGCCCCAGCAAUUUGCAUGGCCUCUGUAUACAUUUGGUUUUGAAGGAUACAGCUUGUGAAGAAACCUCUUAAAAGAACUUUUUUUGUUCCCUUCAUUAUUUUAAGGCAUCUAGGGUAAUGUUGUUUCUUGAUGUGCUGCUGAUGUAAAGUCCUUAUUGUUAGAUGUCUCACAGGGGAAACUCCUUUUCCUUCUCACCAGCUGGAGCAUCUGCGCUUCACUCAUCACCAAGGAGUGAAAUCCUUCCCCCAUUUACUCCACUCUUCAUCAGAUUUCAGUGUAUUUUUAAGUCUCCACAAAGUCUCCUCUGUAUCCCUGUGCUGCAGAGGAUGAGAGAGAGGACCUUUAACUGGUUGUCCCCUCUUGUCCUAUACAUCACCAGGACACCUACCUUUGGCCACCCUGGGCAAAGAGCAAAGUCUGGGUCCUGCUCUUCCCAAGGCCCUCCCUGCACCAGCAUCACAUGCAACAUUCACAGAAGCAGACUAAUGCUCUUCAAAAGUUGGUAAGGUGGGGUUUCGAGCAGUUUGGCGUUGCUUUUUAGCCCACAUCAGGGCUAAAUUUGCCCUGCUUCUGAGGGCUCAAAGGAAGGAGACACUGAAAGUUUAUGCUUUAUUAUUGCUCUUUUUACUUCUUUUUAAAACAACAACAACAACAAAAAAAACAGGUUUAUUAUCCUUUGACCACUUCCAUACCUCAUGAAUCAAAUCUGCAAGAACUAGAGUUCCUCACCACACAAAAUCAUAGAAUCAUAGAACAGUUCGGAUUGGAAGGGACCUUUAAGAUCAUCUAGUUCCAACCCCCUGCUAUAGGCAGAGACACCUCCUUCGAGAACAGGUUGCUCACAGCCCCAUCCAGCCUGGCCUUGUAUGCUUCCAGAGAGAGGGCAUCCACAGCCUCGCUGGGUAUCCUGUUCCAGUGUCUCAACACCCUCACAGUAAAGAAUUUCUUCCUGAUAUCUGGUCUAAAGGAAUAAAGAUGGUUUCAUUUUUGGUUCAUUUUCUAAAUCACAAAUCUUACAAAUUCGGGAUAAAUUCUAUAAACAAAUGGGCUCAUCUCUGAACUCAUCAGGACAAUGCUAUGCUUAUAUAAACUGCUACUUGUGGCAAUGGGAUAUAUGGCAUUUUUUAUUGCAAAAGGAGGACAUAUUAUUCAAAUAAACAUUGAGAAAACAAAAUGAGCUCAAUAAAAUUGGGAUGCCCCUAGCAAUCAGAGUUUUGCUUUAAAAUAGCAAUAAUAAUUGAUGCUCCAUUCUGCUCCCCUGCAAGUGCAGUUAGAGGGUGCAUUUGCAAUCUAGGACCCUCUGCUGUGUUGAGAUGCUUCCUGCCCACGGCAGGAUUGGCUCCAGCCCCUGCAAUUGUCCUUCACUUUUAGGGUCCCACAAGCCCUGUUCCCAAACAAGUGCCCAAACUGCCUUUGUUCCCCUUUUCCAACAGGACUAAGCAUGCGAGGGAUGCACGCAGGGGGCAGUCACAUUGUGCAAACUGCAAAUGUCAGAAUUCCCCUGUUUUGAGCAAGCAGUGCAUCUGCGGUGGAUGAGGAGUUACCCAGUACUACAUGGGUGGGCUGGAGCAUCUCCCCAGGGCCGUUGCCUCCCCUCUUCGCCUUCCGACCCUGGUGUUCUUAUCCGGAGCAACAGCACGCGCAUUUAUCACACGACUUUAUGAACAGUGAAGGUUUAUUACAUUGCACUUAAACCUCAUUUAACCUUUUCUCUGCAAGCAAUACUUUAAAGUGGUACUGGAGAGUUUGCAAAAUCCUGGUGAGCUGCUUUCCUCGUUCUCAUCCCUAAAAUGCUCGUCUGCAAACCCUACAUUUGCUGCCUUCAUUUUUCUGCUACGAGGCAAAAUACUGAAGCAUGGUAAUGAUUUAUGAUAAGAGGUAACUUUAUGUAUGUAUAUAUAACUUUAAAUAAUAUCUGGCUUGAAGAUGCAUGCAUCUUUGUCUAACAUGGUGGCAGCCACAGCCCUGACACCUCACACAUGGGUAUGUGGAGGAGUCCUCAGGCCCACAGACCUCCUGUGAGCUAUCAUGCUGCUUGCAGAACUCUUGCAGAGAAGGCUGAGGACUAGCAACCUGGGAGUGAACAGCAUAAAAAGAUUCCAGGAAGAAGCAAGCUCCCCUGGGAACCAACGUAAGUCCCAUAACUGGGGAUGCUGAAAGUGAACAAAGCUCCAACGUAACGACAGCAGUAGCAUCCUUCACAGGUGGAGACUCCAAAGCUAAAUCAUGUGCUUCUGGAUGUGAUUUCAGAGAUUUCCCUCUAUGCCCUGGGUUGGCCAGAACACUACACAGUGUUUGUGUUGCUUGGGUAUUGAAAAACAUGAGCAAAAACUGUGAAUUGUGAUCUAGAACACUUCCUGAAAUCAAAGAAAUCUGAAUUCUGACAGAGAAAAACCUUCAUUUUUGAUUUCUGCAGAGCCAAAAGAAAUCAGCUGCAAUAUGUAAAUUCUCACCAUGCCAAGGCUGGGUUGCAAACUUCAGAUUCCAUGGUGAAUGCUCACAUCCUUCCCUUGGCAGUGCUGAGUUUAGAUGGCUGAUGAUUGAGUGUUGGUGCUGUCGCGUUGCUGUGUAAGGCAGGUAAGGAAAACAAGAUUGUAGUUAGAUUUUGUUUUGAUUGCACUGACUUUAUUUUUUUAAAUUCUCUAUAUUUUAAUUAGGUUCUGUUUGGGUUACAGCUUUAGAUUAAAUUAUGCCAUUUCACAGACCUAAUAUCUUAAGCUGAUACAUUUCCUUCCAAAGCACCUUGAGUGCUUUGCAAACUUUGUGCUAAAUACUGCAAUUAGUGAAGGCCACAAAAAUGAUAAAGAAAAGAUGUGUUUAUGGGCUCUGCCAGUGCAGCUUCCCAUCAACUCGUGACUUUCUUUGGAAGGGAAGAUCUUGGUAUCCAAGUUGGAUCUGAGCUUGCGAUGCCUCACACCUGAUGUCCUCUCCUCUUUCUUGAAAAUCUUCUCACAUGGAAGCUCAGAAACACAAAACAUUCUCAACAGAUGGCAAUUAAGAUAUUUCUCCUUGGAAAGUCUGAGCCUCUGCUGGAUGCAACCAUAAAUAAGUACUUUAAAAAAAAAAUCUUCCAGCGUGGUGUCAGAUAUUACUGGAAGUUGAUGUUGAUGCUUUUUGUAGCUUGAAGAUGGAGUGGAGGAUUUGUAGAAAUGGCUGUAUUUAAGGGAGCUGGGCCAGGGUGCUGCUUGCUAGGCAACCUGACAAUUAAAUCAAUAAUUUCCCCAGUGGUACUGCUGCACUGGAUGAGUCUUCCAAAGUCAACUUGGAGGUAAGCAAGAAUGUGCCAUAACAGUGUGUUUUUGAACUGCAGCAUAGAGACUUAAUUGAUUUACUCUUUAUUCUUUUCAAAAGACAGCUGAAUGUCAAAGGUCUUUCUUUUGUGAAGUACUGGAAAACCCGUUGUCAAACAACCUCUACUCAUUUAAUAAUUUAUCCCAUUUCGUAAAAGAAAGGCAGCUGACAUGCAGUAAAUCUAGUCCGUGUUUAAAUUACUGCAUUGAACAAUAAUAAGAGGAAUGAAUAAUCUAGUACAUCUAUUUAAAAUUAAACAUAUAUGAAACUGUAUUUCCAAAUGAUCACCAAAGGCUAUAGUUUAAAGGCAGGACAGAAACCAUGAGCAGAAUGAAAAUGCUGAACAGUAGUUUGCAAGUGGCAGUGGAAUUAUUUAUUCUAUUUUUUCUAUACAUAAGGAAUAGAGCUAAAUGAACAAUGUUUAAGCAUGUCAGAAUUUCAUCAAUUUUGCAUGAGUAUUCACAAAUAUCCUGGUGGGGGUAAUUGCUUGCAAAUACAUUUAAACUAAUGAUAUGUUAUAUCCUUACUUGAUAUAAAACUAUUAAAAGAUACGUUAUUGCAUUUGACAAUGCCAUGAAGCUGGGUCAAAGCUUAAUGACAGAUUUCUGCAUUUGUAAAUUAAGAUACACUCUGCUGGAAGCAAAUAUUUUGUAAAAAUAAAAGCCAUCUACUAUGGAAGUUUGAUCAUUGAUCUAAGGUUGCUUUUUGGCUUCUCCAAGCACUGAGCCUGAAAAACUGGGAGAAAUGGAGAUCUCUUUCCAAAGAGAACUGUGAAAACACAGCAUGGUC